GAUGAAGAACGUAGCGAAAUGCGAUAAGUAAUGUGAAUUGCAGAAUUCAGUGAAUCAUCGAAUCUUUGAACGCACAUUGCGCCCGCCAGUAUUCUGGUGGGCAUGCCUGUUCGAGCGUCAUUACAACCCUCAGGCCCCCGGGCCUGGCGUUGGGGAUCGGCAGAAGCCCCCUGUGGGCACACGCCGUCCCUCAAAUACAGUGGCGGUCCCGCCGCAGCUUCCAUUGCGUAGUAGCUAACACCUCGCAACUGGAGAGCGGCGCGGCCAUGCCGUAAAACACCCAACUUCUGAAUGUUGACCUCGAAUCAGGUAGGAAUACCCGCUGAACUUAAGCAUAUCAAUAAGCGGAGGA
rnacentral:misc_RNA from 1 species